GAGUUUGAUCAUGGCUCAGGACGAACGCUGGCGGCGUGCCUAAUACAUGCAAGUCGAGCGGGGAUUAUGCUUGAUCGCUUCGGUGAGACGGCAUAUAUCCUAGCGGCGGACGGGUGAGUAACGCGUGGGUAAUCUACCUCGUAGUUCGGGAUAACAGGCCGAAAGGCUUGCUAAUACCGGAUGAGUUCAUGCUUAUGCAUAUAGGCAUGAAGAAAGGGCUAGCCUGCUAUGAGAUGAGCCCGCGUCCCAUUAGCUUGUUGGUGGGGUAAUGGCCUACCAAGGCAACGAUGGGUAGCCGGCCUGAGAGGGUGUACGGCCACACUGGGACUGAGACACGGCCCAGACUCCUACGGGGGGCAGCAGUAGGGAAUUUUCGGCAAUGGGCGAAAGCCUGACCGAGCGACGCCGCGUGAGGGACGAAGGCCUUCGGGUUGUAAACCUCUGUCUGGGGGGAUGAGAACGGACGGUACCCCCGGAGGAAGCCCCGGCUAACUACGUGCCAGCAGCCGCGGUAAUACGUAGGGGGCUAGCGUUGUCCGGAAUUACUGGGCGUAAAGGGCGUGUAGGCGGUCGUGCAAGUCGGUUGUGAAAGUCUAGGGCUCAACUCUAGGAUGCCGAUCGAAACUGCAUGGCUUGAGGGCAGGAGAGGAGAGCGGAAUUCCUGGUGUAGCGGUGGAAUGCGUAGAUAUCAGGAAGAACACCAGUGGCGAAGGCGGCUCUCUGGCCUGAAACUGACGCUCAGGUACGAAAGCUGGGGGAGCGAACGGGAUUAGAUACCCCGGUAGUCCCAGCCGUAAACGAUGGACACUAGGUGUUGGGGGUUCGAAUCCUUCAGUGCCGAAGCAAACGCAUUAAGUGUCCCGCCUGGGGAGUACGGUCGCAAGACUGAAACUCAAAGGAAUUGACGGGGGCCCGCACAAGCGGUGGAGCAUGUGGUUUAAUUCGAUGCAACGCGAAGAACCUUACCGAGACUUGACAUCCCGUGACUAUCUGUGAAAGCAGAGUCUGCCUUCGGGCACACGGAGACAGGUGGUGCAUGGUUGUCGUCAGCUCGUGUCGUGAGAUGUUGGGUUAAGUCCCGCAACGAGCGCAACCCCUAUCCAGUGUUGCCAGCGGGUAAUGCCGGGGACUCACUGGAGACUGCCGGAGACGAUCCGGAGGAAGGUGGGGAUGACGUCAAAUCAUCAUGGCCCUUAUGCCCUGGGCUACACACGCGCUACAAUGGCCGGUACAACGGGCUGCGAAGGAGCGAUCCGGAGCGAAUCCCUUAAAGCCGGCCCCAGUUGGGAUCGCAGGCUGCAACUCGCCUGCGUGAACACGGAAUUGCUAGUAAUCGCGAAUCAGCUACGUCGCGGUGAAUACGUUCCCGGGCCUUGUACACACCGCCCGUCAAGCCAUGGGAGCUGGUAACACCCGAAGUCAGUGACCCAACCCCGUAAGGGGAGGGAGCUGCCGAAGGUGGGGCUGGUGACUGGGGCUAAGUCGUAACAAGGUAGCCG
rnacentral:rRNA from 1 species